AGAGUUUGAUCCUGGCUCAGGAUGAACGCUGGUGGCGUGCUUAACACAUGCAAGUCGAACGAAGCAAUUAGAAGGAAGUUUCGGAUGGAAUUUAAUGACUGAGUGGCGGACGGGUGAGUAACGCGUGGGUAACCUGCCUCAUACAGGGGGAUAACAGUUAGAAAUGACUGCUAAUACCGCAUAAGCGCACAGGAUUGCAUGAUCCCGUGUGAAAAACUCCGGUGGUAUGAGAUGGACCCGCGUCUGAUUAGCUGGUUGGUGGGGUAACGGCCUACCAAGGCGACGAUCAGUAGCCGACCUGAGAGGGUGACCGGCCACAUUGGGACUGAGACACGGCCCAAACUCCUACGGGAGGCAGCAGUGGGGGAUAUUGCACAAUGGGGGAAACCCUGAUGCAGCAACGCCGCGUGAGUGAAGAAGUAUUUCGGUAUGUAAAGCUCUAUCAGCAGGGAAGAAAAUGACGGUACCUGAGUAAGAAGCCCCGGCUAACUACGUG
rnacentral:rRNA from 1 species